rnacentral:rRNA from 1 species
CACACAGUAAACGAUGAAUACUCGCUGUUUGCGAUAUACAGUAAGCGGCCAAGCGAAAGCAUUAAGCAUCCCACCUGGGGAGUACGCCGGCAACGGUGAAACUCAAAGGAAUUGACGGGG